GCUGGCGGCAGGCCUAACACAUGCAAGUCGGACGGUAACAGGAGAGAAGCUUGCUUUUCUUGCUGACGAGUGGCGGACGGGUGAGUAACGCGUGGGAAUCUACCCUUUAGUUGGGGACAACAUAUGGAAACGUAUGCUAAUACCGAAUAUGCUCUACGGAGUAAAGGUGCCCUCUCCUUGGAAGGUAUCGCUAAAGGAUGAGCCCGCGUUAGAUUAGCUAGUUGGUAGGGUAAAGGCCUACCAAGGCGACGAUCUAUAGCUGGUUUGAGAGGAUGAUCAGCCACACUGGGACUGAGACACGGCCCAGACUCCUACGGGAGGCAGCAGUGGGGAAUAUUGCACAAUGAGGGAAACCUUGAUGCAGCCAUGCCGCGUGUGUGAAGAAGGCCCGAGGGUUGUAAAGCACUUUCAAUUGUGAGGAAGAUUAAGUAGCUAAUACCUGCUUAGUUUGACGUUAACUUUAGAAGAAGCACCGGCUAACUCUGUGCCAGCAGCCGCGGUAAUACAGAGGGUGCAAGCGUUAUUCGGAAUUACUGGGCGUAAAGCGCGCGUAGGCGGACUGUUAAGUCGGUUGUGAAAGCCCUGGGCUCAACCUAGGAACUGCAUCCGAUACUGGCAAUCUAGAGUUUAAGAGAGGGAAGUGGAAUUCCAGGGUGUAGCAGUGAAAUGCGUAGAUAUCUGGAGGAACAUCAGUGGCGAAGGCGACUUCCUGGCUUAAAACUGACGCUGAGGUGCGAAAGCUUGGGUAGCGAACGGGAUUAGAUACCCCGGUAGUCCAAGCCGUAAACGAUGUCAACUAGCUGUUGGUCUUAUUAAAAAGAUUAGUAGCGCAGCUAACGCGAUAAGUUGACCGCCUGGGGAGUACG
rnacentral:rRNA from 1 species